rnacentral:rRNA from 1 species
ACAGCAGUAGCCACGGUAAUACGAAGGGUGCAAGCGUUACUCGGAAUUACUGGGCGUAAAGCGUGCGUAGGUGGUGGUUUAAGUCCGUUGUGAAAGCCCUGGGCUCAACCUGGGAAUUGCAGUGGAUACUGGGUCACUAGAGUGUGGUAGAGGAUAGUGGAAUUUCCGGUGUAGCAGUGAAAUGCGUAGAGAUCGGAAGGAACAUCUGUGGCGAAGGCGACUAUCUGGGCCAACACUGACACUGAGGCACGAAAGCGUGGGGAGCAAACAGGAUUAGAUACCCGGGUAGUCCCUGUCUCUUAUAC